rnacentral:rRNA from 1 species
CAGCAGCCACGGGAAUACGUAGGUGGCAAGCGUUGUCCGGAAUUAUUGGGCGUAAAGGGCUCGCAGGCGGUUUCUUAAGUCUGAUGUGAAAGCCCCCGGCUCAACCGGGGAGGGUCAUUGGAAACUGGGAAACUUGAGUGCAGAAGAGGAGAGUGGAAUUCCACGUGUAGCGGUGAAAUGCGUAGAGAUGUGGAGGAACACCAGUGGCGAAGGCGACUCUCUGGUCUGUAACUGACGCUGAGGAGCGAAAGCGUGGGGAGCGAACAGGAUUAGAGACCCCUGUAGUCCCUGUCUCUUAUAC